CUUGCUGCAGUGAAUGUUAAUCUUCUAUCACUGGCUGGACUCACUAUAUAACAAUACUUAUUGUACCUGGCUUGGAUAGGAGCUACAAUCAAAGGGAGAUCACACACUUGCCACAAUUCCUACCUAUACUCUGUGACCCAAUAUGUUACUGUGCCAUAUGAAUGCUAUUGUAGGUGUGGCUCCAUAUUUCAUGUUUGAUUACAAAUGACCACAACUUCCAAGCAGCCGGCUCUUUAAACCUUCUGUCUUUUUCACGGUGCUUGGUCUCUUCAUACAGAUGGCACACUUAUCACAGUUUUUUGAAACCGUCAUGUAAAGAGAGGUGUCUCAGUACAGCUGGAAAUUAGGCUACGGAAAAGUGCACCAGAUAGGAUUUCUGGUGCUUCUCCAGAGAGGUGACUGAAUUAAAGGCAAUUCAGGCUUACCGGGAAUCUUUGCCUAAGGACGACUUUGGAAAACACAACCACAUGCAAAAUAUCUUCCCAUACGGAGAAACAGAACAGGACACAGGAAACCGAUUAUCCAGUCCUCCUGGCCACAUUCACAAGUCUGACGAAGACUGCACUUGAAAAUCUUUGGAAUAGACACCAAAAAAUGCCAGGAAAUAUAUUAGGAGCUCUUUCAGAAAGAAUUGAUAAGGAUGACAAAGCUAACUAGUCCAUAUAAAACAAACCAUAGUUCUGUAAUAGGAAAAUUUAAUAAUUAAUUA